CACCCAGGCGCCCCCAUCACUGAAUGAUUUUAAGGAAAGUUUAAGAGACAGAACUUUUAUGAAACAAAUUUAUAAAGUGAUUUAAUAUCAAUUAUUUUCCCACGUACAUGUAUUUUAAGUGUCCUUAGUCAAUUUAGACUCCAACUACCAUAUUUUAGAUAUACUAAAGCUAAUUAAAAAAAGUAAAAGGUAUUCCAAGGGCAAAUGUGCUUCAUUAAAGUAGAUAAGAGGAAAUUUUUUGUAAAAAUCAGAAGGAGAGAUAUAAUCAGGGGUUUAUGGUUGAAGAGCUCAUUUUAUUAUGAAAUAGGGCAUAUUUCUUCAGUAAUUCUGCAGGUUUACUGUCACUGUAGUUAAGCAGAUGAGCCAUGCUAUUGAAGAAUAAACAGCAGAUAUGUUUGAAGUUAGUAUAAGAGGAAAAUGAAGUACGCAAUCCUUGAUGAAGUAAAAUGAAAAUGGGGAGAGCAAGUAUCAGUAUUUCAAAGAUUGAGAAAUAGAGAAACAAAGAUCCUCCUGAGGAAUUUUUCAACAGGUUCGAAAGUUCAGGCUAACACAACCCUGGCAAAUAAUACAUUUUGAUACUGGAAUUUUGGAUUGAACAUAUUUUAUUAGAUUCUGAGAAAGGAGAUACCUGGAUAACCUGGUGAUGAUGAUGAGUGUUUUACUAGAAUUACAGCAACUCUCUUCCGAGGAUGGCAUACUGACAGUGAACAUUAGGCAGUAAGAUCUUGACUCUUAUCAGUCGAAAGGUACGUUUUAUUUCAAAUAAUCUCAAUGUUUCAUGUGUAAAGUGGCUUGAGUUUUGUGAAGAUACGAUGGAAUUAGAUGAGAGUCCCCUAGUCCACCCUCAAGAAUGAGAACUACAGUUUACAGUUUACAAGUCAACCUUGUAUUAAGUAAACUAUAAUAGAUGAAUAGAUGUACAGUGGCUUCUUAUAUCACUAUCUCUUCUUUCCUAUCAGAGAACUCAUGUAAUAUGUAAUUUAGGUGCUAAGGACAUAGCCUUCUUUUUUCCAGCUCACCAUUGUGUCCCUUGUUUCUCCUUCCCCAUGUAAUCUGUACUGGGCUGCUUGGUUCUUGUUUCAGUAUCAUUACUGAACAGAGCACAUUAACAUUCAAAGCCUUUACUAAUUGAUUUCUCUGGACAUUUUGGCCACCUUUCAACUGGCUGUAGCUG